ACAUCAUUUCACUAAGGUGGCAAAAGUGCUCAUGUCCUACACUAAAGUAGAAGUCAAACCAAAAAAAAAAAUAAAAUAAAUGGUAAAGGUAGAAGUCCAGUAGAAGUCCAGUUAACCCCAGAAACCAGCGAUCGCUGGUUUUUAAAAAGGUUUUUAAUUGCCUAUAGAUGCCACAAAUGGCAGCAAAGCACUACUUAUGUCUAAAUGAAACUCAUCAAUUUGCGUCAAUUUAUACUGCUUUUACAUCAAGAUACCACCAGAUGGUGCCAAAGUAAUAAAACUGCUUCGUCCUGAGAACAGGGACGGCUAAGCGUUUGAGUAAUACAGAAUAGGUCUGGAAACAUUCCUUGAAGGGGCGAGUCUCCAAAUGUCGAACCUCAAACAUGUUGUGGUUGACUGUACUGAUUGAACACCUUAAUUGAAGUAAGAGCAAAAAAGAACAGAGUUUUUUUUUUUUAAUGAAACAAUUCUCUAUAAACAAUCUUGCCUCUCCAAAUCAGUUGCGUCAUCAUUGUUAAUGCUGGCUGGUUCAUUGUGCUGCCUUAUAAGCCGCUUAUACGGAUCAAUUCAAAUCUUGCCUGCGGUUGACCUCAACUCACUCUGUUUAAGUUGUCGUCAUUGA